GACGAACGCUGGCGGCGUGCUUAACACAUGCGAGUCGAACGCUGAAGCUCAGCUUUUGUUGGGUGGAUGAGUGGCGAACGGGUGAGUAACACGUGAGUAACCUGCCUCCUUCUUUGGGAUAACGCCCGGAAACGGGUGCUAAUACUGGAUAUUCACUGGUCUUCGCAUGGGGGUUGGUGGAAAGGGUUUUUCUGGUGGGGGAUGGGCUCGCGGCCUAUCAGCUUGUUGGUGGGGUGAUGGCCUACCAAGGCUUUGACGGGUAGCCGGCCUGAGAGGGUGACCGGUCACAUUGGGACUGAGAUACGGCCCAGACUCCUACGGGGGGCAGCAGUGGGGAAUAUUGCACAAUGGGCGCAAGCCUGAUGCAGCGACGCCGCGUGAGGGAUGGAGGCCUUCGGGUUGUGAACCUCUUUCGCUCAUGGUCAAGCCGCAACAAUGGUUGUGGUGAGGGUAGUGGGUAAAGAAGCGCCGGCUAACUACGUG
rnacentral:rRNA from 1 species